rnacentral:rRNA from 1 species
UGGGGAAUUGUUCACAAUGGGCGCAAGCCUGAUGACGCAACGCCGCGUGGAGGAUGAAGGUCUUCGGAUUGUAAACUCCUGUUGCCCGGGACGAACGGCUCCAACCUAACACGUUGGAGAUUGACGGUACCGGGUGAGGAAGCCCCGGCUAACUCUGUGCCAGCAGCCGCGGUAAUACAGAGGGGGCAAGCGUUGUUCGGAAUUACUGGGCGUAAAGGGCGCGUAGGCGGCCUUCUAAGUCGAACGUGAAAUCCCCGGGCUCAACCCGGGAACUGCGUCCGAUACUGGAAGGCUUGAAUCCGGGAGAGGGAUGUGGAAUUCCAGGUGUAGCGGUGAAAUGCGUAGAUAUCUGGAGGAACACCGGUGGCGAAGGCGACAUCCUGGACCGGUAUUGACGCUGAGGCGCGAAAGCCAGGGGGAGCAAAACGGGGAUUAGGAUACCCCCGGUAGUCCUGGCCCUAAAACGAUGAAUGCUUGGUGUGGCGGGUAUCGAUCCCUGCCGUGCCGAAGCUAACGCAUUAAG